AGAGUAUUGUACCACAAUCCCAGUUGUUUGCAAUAAAUGGCUUGUCUUGAUUUUCCAGAUUAUAGCUAGAAGAUUGCCUCAAACGAUGAAUUGUAGAAUGGAGCAGGAUGUCUGUGUGUCUGCGUCUUCACCCGGGUUUUUCAGGCCACGUGUGUCUGGCCCUCCCAUUCCUGGCCAAGGCCCACAGCCACCACAGAUGACCUGCUGAUGCCUCUGCUGAAAUCCGUGGCCACUGGCCAACAGCUUGACAAGAGUGUCAGCUCCCUCCCGAGACGAAAUCAGAGGAAAACGCCUCUAGUUUCUAAGAAGCACACAGGGAGCCACUUCUUUACCGCUAGCUCCUGCAGGAUCUGUGGGAUCCUGCAGGUGCUGGUUUGCCUCCUGAGCCCUGUCCUAAGGACACUCUGCACAUCGCCUCCUGACAGAUGGGCUUUCACAUUCAAGAGACACUGGAGCUGCCAUAACCUUGAGUGGACAUGAGCUUGGCCAGAUUGCACUGUCCAAAUGCCAGGACCCAGGGCCCCGGGGAGGUCUCUGGUGCAUGCGGCAGUGCUCUUGGAGGAUCUUGAUCACUCCAGCGCAUUCCUUGCAGCAAUCUGCACUUGGAACAGCGUUUGAUAUGGAAGGAAACACUAGUAUAAUAUCAAGUUGUGUAUAAUUGCAAAACUUGCUGUCUCGGAUGUGAAAUAAAUUCGGCUAAUUUGUUGGUAGGA
rnacentral:lncRNA from 1 species